rnacentral:rRNA from 1 species
AUUGAACGCUGGCGGCAGGCCUAACACAUGCGAGUCGAGCGGAUGAAGGGAGCUUGCUCCUGGAUUCAGCGGCGGACGGGUGAGUAAUGCCUAGGAAUCUGCCUGGUAGUGGGGGAUAACGUCCGGAAACGGGCGCUAAUACCGCAUACGUCCUGAGGGAGAAAGUGGGGGAUCUUCGGACCUCACGCUAUCAGAUGAGCCUAGGUCGGAUUAGCUAGUUGGUGGGGUAAAGGCCUACCAAGGCGACGAUCCGUAACUGGUCUGAGAGGAUGAUCAGUCACACUGGAACUGAGACACGGUCCAGACUCCUACGGGAGGCAGCAGUGGGGAAUAUUGGACAAUGGGCGAAAGCCUGAUCCAGCCAUGCCGCGUGUGUGAAGAAGGUCUUCGGUUUGUAAAGCACUUUAAGUUGGGAGGAAGGGCAGUAAGUUAAUACCUUGCUGUUUUGACGUUACCAACAGAAUAAGCACCGGCUAACUUCGUG